rnacentral:rRNA from 1 species
AGAGCCCAGCACCGAAUCCUUCACCAUCUCGGUGACAGGAAAUGUGGUGUUUAGGCCGUACCUUGUCCCGACACGUCUCUCCUCAAGUCCACUUGAUUGUGGCCCCAGGCCCAGAGAGGGUGUAAGGCCCGUGGAGGCGAGACGUUCGGUACCUGGUGCGUCCUUAGAGUCGGGUUGUUUGGGAAUGCAGCCCUAAGCGGGUGGUAAACUCCAUCCAAGGCUAAAUACCAGCACGAGUCCGAUAGCGAAGAAGUACCGCGAGGGAAGGUUGAAAAGAACUUUGAAGAGAGAGUUCAAGAGUACGUGAAACCGCUGAGAGGCAAACUGGUGGAACUGAAAUGGUCCCGAGGAAUUCAGCCGUUGGUCGUUGCACAGUCUUUGGUGAUUGAUCUAACGACGGCGCCAUUGAAUGACGUUUCGAUCAUCGGUGCACUUUCCUCGCCUGGGCCCGACCACGACCGGUGAGCUGAUCUGUCUGUCGUGCUUGGAAGAUAGCGCCGUCUUCGGAAGGCGUGUUAUAGACAGGCAUACGGAGCAGUCGGCGCACUGGAUGAUAGUGCCUGCCCAUCUGGGCUCAUAUGGUGGUUGUUUUGUUGGCGAGUUCUGAUGUCACUACUUCGGUAGAGUCGUUAGACUCUGUUGGCAUUAUGGCUGUCCUCUAUGAUUGGCACUGUUAAGUCUGUGGUUGUGAAGUAGGUAGUCCACCUGACCCGUCUUGAAACACGGACCAAGGAGUCUAACAUGUGCGCGAGUCAUUGGGUUCACGAAACCUAAAGGCGCAGUGAAGGUAAAGAUCUGUUUUGGCAGAUUGAGGUGGGAUGCCGGGUUACGCGCCCGGCCNCACUACCGGCCCGUUCUAUAUGUCUUUCAUAGGANGNGGAGCAAGA